CAGGUGUAUUAGAUACAGGAUUGUUUAUUAACAUGGCCAAGAAGGCAUAUUUUGGUAGAGAAGAUGGAAGCUUGGUGGAACAAACAAAAUAAUAUCAAAACAUAAAAUAAUACGAGAUUAUAGUGAUUAUAGAUCACGCUAUUAAUUCUUGAAGAUUAUAUUAUUAUCUAGGCAGUGUCAAACACAAAAACUAUAUCAAAAUCCUGGCCAGUAUGAUGCAAUUCAAAUGCACAGUUUUAAACUGUCACCAAUGACUAAUAUUUGUACUAAAAAUAUGAUUUUAUAAAUAAAAAUAAUCAUGAUUAAUUAAACACAUGUCUUAUUGUUCAAGACAGAAAUAUAUCUUUUAUGAAUGCAGGUAUGCAACUACCUAUAUUUUGUGCUGAAGAAUAAUAAAUUCAUACUAUUUAAUGAUAACAUUGAUAGU
rnacentral:lncRNA from 1 species